UACGUAGGGUGCGAGCGUUAAUCGGAAUUACUGGGCGUAAAGCGUGCGCAGGCGGUUCGUUAAGUCAGAUGUGAAAUCCCCGGGCUCAACCUGGGAACUGCAUUUGUGACUGUAUAGCUAGAGUACGGUAGAGGGGGAUGGAAUUCCGCGUGUAGCAGUGAAAUGCGUAGAUAUGCGGAGGAACACCGAUGGCGAAGGCAAUCCCCUGGACCUGUACUGACGCUCAUGCACGAAAGCGUGGGGAGCAAACAGG
rnacentral:rRNA from 1 species